rfam:TPA: Bos taurus chromosome 6, whole genome shotgun sequence.
UCCCUGGUAUCUUAGAUGGUAAAGAAUCUGCCUGCAAUGCAGGAGACCUGAGUUUGAUCCCUGGGUCGGGAA